rnacentral:tRNA from 1 species
GGAGAGAUGGCUCAGUGGUUAAGAGCACUGACUGCUUCCAGCGGUCCUGAGUUCAAUUCCCAGCAACUAUA